rnacentral:rRNA from 1 species
AGAGUUUUUUCCUGGCUCAGAUUGAACGCUGGCGGCAGGCCUAACACAUGCAAGUCGAGCGGUAGAGAGAAGCUUGCUUCUCUUGAGAGCGGCGGACGGGUGAGUAAUGCCUAGGAAUCUGCCUGGUAGUGGGGGAUAACGUUCGGAAACGGACGCUAAUACCGCAUACGUCCUACGGGAGAAAGCAGGGGACCUUCGGGCCUUGCGCUAUCAGAUGAGCCCAGGUCGGAUUAGCUAGUUGGUGGGGUAAUGGCUCACCAAGGCGACGAUCCGUAACUGGUCUGAGAGGAUGAUCAGUCACACUGGAACUGAGACACGGUCCAGACUCCUACGGGAGGCAGCAGUGGGGAAUAUUGGACAAUGGGCGAAAGCCUGAUCCAGCCAUGCCGCGUGUGUGAAGAAGGUCUUCGGAUUGUAAAGCACUUUAAGUUGGGAGGAAGGGCAGUAAAUUAAUACUUUGCUGUUUUGACGUUACCGACAGAAUAAGCACCGGCUAACUCUGUGCCAGCAGCCGCGGUAAUACAGAGGGUGCAAGCGUUAAUCGGAAUUACUGGGCGUAAAGCGCGCGUAGGUGGUUCGUUAAGUUGGAUGUGAAAUCCCCGGGCUCAACCUGGGAACUGCAUUCAAAACUGACGAGCUAGAGUAUGGUAGAAUGGAAUUCCUAGUGUAGCGGUGAAAUGCGUAGAGAUUAGGAAGAACACCAGUGGCGAAGGCGAUUCUCUGGACUGUAACUGACGCUGAGGCUCGAAAGCGUGGGGAGCAAACAGGAUUAGAUACCCUGGUAGUCCACGCCGUAAACGAUG